CAAUAGCGUAUAUUUAAGUUGUUGCAGUUAAAAAGCUCGUAGUUGGAUUUCGGAUGGGAUUUGCCGGUCCGUCGUUACGAUGUGCACUGGCCAGUCCUAUCUUGUUGUCGGGGACUAGCUCCUUGGAUUCACUUCCUGGGACUAGGAGCUGACGAGGUUACUUUGAGUAAAUUAGAGUGUUCAAAGCAAGCCUACGCUCUGAAUACAUUAGCAUGGAAUAACACGAUAGGACUCUGGCUUAUCUUGUUGGUCUGUGAGACCAGAGUAAUGAUUAAGAGGGACAGUCGGGGACAUUCGUAUUUCACUGUCAGAGGUGAAAUUCUUGGAUUUAUGAAAGACGAACUUCUGCGAAAGCAUUUGUCAAGGAUGUUUUCAUUAA
rnacentral:rRNA from 1 species